CCUGGGAUGGAGUCAUAUCCAGAGCAAGGACUUGGGGAUCGCUGCCCCCUCCACUCUAGGCCCCGAGGCCGACUUUGUCGGGUCUGUCUCCCUCAUUCAGGGCUUUGCAGGGGAUUUCGAGAUUGUUCAUACAGUGGAUUAGUCCGUGGCAUGGGAUUAUUCUGCCACAUUGCAUGAACUGCAGCAGUCAAAUCCUGCAUCU
rnacentral:lncRNA from 1 species